UACGGGGGGGGCUAGCGUUGUUCGGAAUUAUUGGGCGUAAAGGGCGCGUAGGCGGUGUGGUAAGUCUGUUGUGAAACCUCCAGGCUCAACUUGGAGCUUGCAUCAGAAACUGCCGUGCUAGAGUGUGGGAGAGGAGAGUGGAAUUCCUGGUGUAGCGGUGAAAUGCGUAGAUAUCAGGAGGAACACCGGUGGCGAAAGCGGCUCUCUGGACCACAACUGACGCUGAGGCGCGAAAGCUAGGGGAGCAAACAGG
rnacentral:rRNA from 1 species